rnacentral:rRNA from 1 species
GGCGUGCCUAAUACAUGCAAGUCGAGCGAACAGACGAGGAGCUUGCUCCUCUGACGUUAGCGGCGGACGGGUGAGUAACACGUGGAUAACCUACCUAUAAGACUGGGAUAACUUCGGGAAACCGGAGCUAAUACCGGAUAAUAUAUUGAACCGCAUGGUUCAAUAGUGAAAGACGGUUUUGCUGUCACUUAUAGAUGGAUCCGCGUCGCAUUAGCUAGUUGGUAAGGUAACGGCUUACCAAGGCAACGAUGCGUAGCCGACCUGAGAGGGUGAUCGGCCACACUGGAACUGAGACACGGUCCAGACUCCUACGGGAGGCAGCAGUAGGGAAUCUUCCGCAAUGGGCGAAAGCCUGACGGAGCAACGCCGCGUGAGUGAUGAAGGUCUUCGGAUCGUAAAACUCUAUUAUUAGGGAAGAACAAAUGUGUAAGUAACUAUGCACGUCUUGACGGUACCUAAUCAGAAAGCCACGGCUAACUACGUGCCAGCAGCCGCGGUAAUACGUAGGUGGCAAGCGUUAUCCGGAAUUAUUGGGCGUAAAGCGCGCGUAGGCGGUUUUUUAAGUCUGAUGUGAAAGCCCACGGCUCAACCGUGGAGGGUCAUUGGAAACUGGAAAACUUGAGUGCAGAAGAGGAAAGUGGAAUUCCAUGUGUAGCGGUGAAAUGCGCAGAGAUAUGGAGGAACACCAGUGGCGAAGGCGACUUUCUGGUCUGUAACUGACGCUGAUGUGCGAAAGCGUGGGGAUCAAACAGGAUUAG